rnacentral:rRNA from 1 species
AUGGCUUCGAUGACUAUGCUCGUCUCGUGGACCACCUGGAACGAAAGGAAUGCACGAGUCUUCCGAUACAAGUGUGCUCCGCCGGCUAUUUUGCUCGCUUCCAUUGUCAAUGAGGCAAAACUUUGGGUCACUGUUAGGACAAAGAAAUUAGGGGCCAUUAUUUUGCGCAAGUAA